UGAGGAAUAUUGGACAAUGGGCGGGAGCCUGAUCCAGCCAUGCCGCGUGCAGGAAGAAUGCCCUAUGGGUAGUAAACUGCUUUUAUACGGGAAGAAAAAGGGCUACGUGUAGCCCACUGACGGUACCGUAAGAAUAAGGACCGGCUAACUCCGUGCCAGCAGCCGCGGUAAUACGGAGGGUCCGAGCGUUAUCCGGAAUUAUUGGGUUUAAAGGGUCCGUAGGCGGGCCGAUAAGUCAGGGGUGAAAGUCUGCCGCUCAACGGUAGAAUUGCCUUUGAUACUGUCGGUCUUGAGUUAUGGUGAAGUUGGCGGAAUAUGUAGUGUAGCGGUGAAAUGCAUAGAUAUUACAUAGAACACCGAUUGCGAAGGCAGCUGACUAACCAUCGACUGACGCUGAUGGACGAAAGCGUGGGGAGCGAACA
rnacentral:rRNA from 1 species